CCUCCCUCUCUCUCUCCCCCCUCCCUCUCUCCCUCACUCUCUCUCUCCCUCUCCCCCUCCAUCUCUCUCUCUUUUCUCCAGAGGGGGAGAGACCGAUCGGAGAACUCGGGUCUGACGGGGAGAUUUCUCUCUCUCUCUCUCUCGCUGAUCCCUCUCCAGAAUGAAAUGCUCCCUGAACCGCCUGUCCCAAGGCUCCUCAAAGGAGGGUCUUCCGAAAGGGAGCUCGGGGGCUGUGACUGCCGGUCGUGGGGAAGACGGCUGCGAGAGGCCGGGAGACGCUUCCCAAACCGGUACCGUCAUUCUUCGCCAUUCCCGUAAAGCCCGGGCCGAGAUGAUGAGGCAGAAGAGAACUCCCCAAUGGAACGACCAUCCUCUUCCACUGCUGUAUUUGAACAGUUUCGGGUUCCACUCCUAUGCCUAAACGUGAAGAUGACGAAGAGACCAGUGCUGAUAAUACAGCUCAUGGUCAGGAUGAGUCUUCAGAACAUCAGUCAAAGAAAUUGAAACUCACCCAGCGAUCAGCAAAGCAUGUACAGGAGAUGGAAGAAAACACAGACGCAGGCAACGAAAUGCAGAUCCAGUCUGAGAACCCAGAUUCACAGGACUCUAUCACCCAGGUGGUUAUUGAAGAAUACCCACCUGUCAACUAAUGGAAGAUAAUGAAGAGGCAUCUCACCCUUUGGAUUUAGACCCUCAAAAGUUAGAACAUCAGCUAAGUACUCAGUACUCACAAAGUUCUCAAACACCAAGUGAAUACAUUAUUAUUGAGAGUGAUGAAGAUCCAGACAAUGAAGAGGACGAUGAUGAUGAUACUGGUAUUGAGGAUGGUGAUGGUGUAGAUAGUAAUGAGGGUAGUCCUGAGGGAGAAGAUAAUUAUGAUGAUGGCAAUGUUGAGGCUGCUGAUGGGACAGAUCCUAGUACAGAUGAACAAGCUACAAAAGAAAGUACUCAAGUUUCAGAGGAUAAUUCUGGAGUUGAAGGUUGUGUCACCACCACGGAAUCCUACACACCAGAAACUCCAAGAGAGCAACAGGCAGUUGUUGAAAGACCAGCUUCACGAGCUCGACGCUCACCAAGGAGACCAGCACAUCCUCUUCCGCCAAGACUUACAAUACAACCGCCAGCCCCAGAACUGGGACCACCUGCACAGAGAUUUCCACCAGCGAGGCGACCUUCAUCAAGUCGAGGGGGAACUCAGCUUACUCCAGGCAUUGGAGGUUGAAUAUUGGAACAGGACCAAGUAGAAUGUAAAAAAGUACCAAUUUCUUGAUGACACCGAAAACAUUGAUCAGAUAUAACUGAGCAUGCCUCCCAGUCUGUUCCUAUGGUUGCAACAUCCACGAGCAAUCUGUCCAGCACAGUUGAAUCUGGAGGUGGUGAUGAUGACCCAAGACCCUAAGCCUCGAGGAUCCCAAGC